rnacentral:rRNA from 1 species
UACGUAGGGGGCAAGCGUUGUCCGGAAUCAUUGGGCGUAAAGCGCGCGUAGGCGGCCAGAUAAGUCCGGUGUGAAAGUCACAGGCUCAACCUGUGAAUGCCGCUGGAAACUGUCUGGCUUGAGUCCGGAAGGGGCGAGUGGAAUUCCUGGUGUAGCGGUGAAAUGCGCAGAUAUCAGGAGGAACACCAAUGGCGAAGGCAGCUCGCUGGAACGGUACUGACGCUGAGGCGCGAAAGCCAGGGGAGCAAACAGG